UACGUAGGUGGCAAGCGUUGUCCGGAUUUACUGGGCGUAAAGAGCGCGCAGGCGCCAAGUCAGUCGAAUGUGAAAGCCCCCGGCUUAACUGGGGAGGGUCAUUCGAUACUGCUUGGCUCGAAGACAGGAGAGGGAAGCGGAAUUCCCGGUGUAGUGGUGAAAUGCGUAGAUAUCGGGAGGAACACCAGUGGCGAAGGCGGCUUUCUGGCCUGUUCUUGACGCUGAGGCGCGAAAGCUAGGGGAGCAAACGGGGAUUAAGAAACCCCAGUAACGUCC
rnacentral:rRNA from 1 species